rnacentral:rRNA from 1 species
UACGAGCGGCCCAAACGUUAUUCGGAUUUACUGGGCUUAAAGAGUUCGUAGGCGGUGCAGAAAGUGGGGUGUGAAAGCCCUCGGCUCAACCGAGGAAUUGCGCUCCAAACUACUGUACUAGAGGAAGCUAGAGGUGAGCAGAACAGAUGGUGGAGCGGUGAAAUGCGUUGAUAUCAUCUGGAAUACCGGAGGCGAAGGCGGCUCACUGGGGUUUUUCUGACGCUGAGGAACGAAAGCCAGGGUAGCGAACGGG